GAAUAUUGGACAAUGGGCGAAAGCCUGAUCCAGCCAUGCCGCGUGAGUGAUGAAGGCCCUAGGGUUGUAAAGCUCUUUCAGUGGGGAAGAUAAUGACGGUACCCACAGAAGAAGCCCCGGCUAACUUCGUGCCAGCAGCCGCGGUAAUACGAAGGGGGCUAGCGUUGUUCGGAUUUACUGGGCGUAAAGCGCGCGUAGGCGGACUUUUAAGUCAGGGGUGAAAUCCCGGGGCUCAACCCCGGAACAGCCUUUGAUACUGGAGGUCUAGAGGCCGAGAGAGGUGAGUGGAAUUCCGAGUGUAGAGGUGAAAUUCGUAGAUAUUCGGAGGAACACCAGUGGCGAAGGCGGCUCACUGGCUCGGUACUGACGCUGAGGUGCGAAAGCGUGGGGAGCAAACAG
rnacentral:rRNA from 1 species